GGGCCCGUAGCUCAAUCGGACAGAGCGCCAACCUUCUAAGUUGUGCGGUUGGGGGUUCGACUCCCCCCGGGCCCGCCA
rnacentral:tRNA from 1 species